AAGUAUGUGUUCUUCUCAGUUUUUUCUAUUUCUCAAGAUCUUAUAAUAGUGUUCUUAUACAAUAUUUGUCCUUUUGCAACUGACUCAUUUCGCUCAGCAUAAUGCCUUCCAGAUUCCUCCAUGUUAUGAAAUGUUUCAGAGAUUCGUCACUGUUCUUUAUCGAUGCGUAGUAUUCCAUUGUGUGAAUAUACCACAAUUUAUUUACCCAUUCAUCCGUUGACGGACACCUUGGUUGCUUCCAGCUUUUUGCUAUUGUAAACAGAGCUGCAAUAAACAUGGGUGUGCAUAUAUCUGUUUGUGUGAAGGCUCUUGUAUCUCUAGGGUAUAUUCCUAGGAGUGGGAUUUCUGGGUUGUAUGGUAGUUCUAUUUCUAACUGUUUAAGAUAACGCCAGAUGGAUUUCCAAAGUGGUUGUACCAUUUUACAAUCCCACCAGCAGUGUAUGAGAGUUCCAAUCUCUCCGCCGCCUCUCCAACAUUUAUUAUUUUGUGUUUUUUGGAUUAAUGCCAGUCUAGUUGGUGUGAGAUGGCAUCUCAUCGUAGUUUUAAUUUGCAUUUCUCUAAUGGCUAAUGAUCAGGAGCAUUUUCUCAUGUAUCUGUUGGCUGCCUGAAUAUCUUCUUUAGUGAAAUGUGUGUUCAUCUCCUUUGCCCACUUCUUGAUUGGGUUGUUUGUCUUUUUGUGGUUGAGUUUUGACAGAAUCAUGUAGAUUUUAGAGAUCAGGCACUGGUCUGAGAUGUCAUAGCUGAAUAUUCUUUCCCAGUCUGUAGGUGGUCUUUUUGCUCUUUUGGUGAAGUCUUUAGAUGAGCAUAGGUGUUUGAUUUUUAGGAGCUCCCAGUUAUCUGGUUUCUCUUCAUCAUUUUUGGUGAUGUUUUGUGUUCUGUUUAUGCCCUGUAUUAGGGCUCCUAGGGUUGAUCCUAUUUUUUCUUCCAUGAUCUUUAUCGUUUUAGCCUUUAUGUUUAGGUCUUUGAUCCACUUGGAGUUAGUUUUUGUGCAUGGUGUGAGGUAUGGGUCCUGUUUCAUUCUUUUGCAAACGGAUAUCCAGGUAUGCCAGCACCAUUUGUUAAAAAGGCUAUCAUUUCCCCAAUUGACUGACACUGGUCCUUUGUCAAAUAUCAGCUGCUCAUACGUGGAUGGAUUUAUAUCUGGGUUCUCAAUUCUGUUCCAUUGGUCUAUGUGCCUGUUGUUGUACCAGUACCAGGCUGUUUUGACUACUGUAGCUGUAUAAUAGGUUCUGAAAUCAGGUAGAGUGAGGCCUCCCAGUUUCUUCUUCUUUUUCAGUAAUGUUUUGCUUAUCCGGGGGUUCUUUCCCUUCCAUAUGAAAUUAGUGAUUUGUUUCUCUAUCCCCUUAAAAUAUGACAUUGGUAUUUGGAUUGGAAGUGCGUCAUAUGUAUAGAUGGCCAUAAAACAUAUUUUAACAUGCAGUAUUCAGAAUAAAAAUGUGGCGAAAAAAUUUCUAAUUAGUCUGAGACUUAAGAUGGAAGGUACUUUGUCAUACCAUCUAAUCCUCUUAUUUUGCAGAUGAGACAUCCGAGGCCUCCCCAAAUAUAAGAUUGUAUAUAACUGGUUAGUAGUUGUUGUUAGGUGCUGUCAAGUUGGUUCUGACUCAUAGCGACCCUGUGUACAACAGAAUGAAACAUUGCCUGGUCAUGCAUCAUCCACAUAGUCGUUGCUGUUUGAGCCCAUUGUUGCAGCUCCUGUGUUAGUUCAUCUUGUCUAGGAUCUUCCUGUUUUUUGCUGACCUUCUACCUUACCAAGCAUGAUGCCCUUCUCCAGGGCCUGGUCCCUCCUGAUAGGAUGUCCAAAGUAUGUGAGGUGAUGUCUCGCCAUCUUCCCUUCUAAGGAGCAUUCUGGCUGUACUCCUUCCAGGAUAGAUUUUGUCUUAUGGCAGUCCGUGGUAUGUUCAGUGUUCUUCAGCAACACCGUAAUUCAAAGGUAUCAAUUCUUUGAUCUUAUUUAUUGUCCAGCUUUUGCAUGCACAUGAGACAAUUGAAAAUACCAUGGCUUGGGUUAGGCGCACCUUAGUCCUCAAAGUGACAUCUUUGCUUUUUAAUAGUAGAGUAUGUGUUUAGAAUCCAGUCUGUUGCUCUCAGUCCAGUGCUCUUUCCCUUACGUUGAACUGUGAAUUUGGAGUAUCGCUCAAAGCAUGGAUUUCACUCUCUUUUAGGCUAGACUGUGGCUUUCACACUUCCCUUCCUAGCAGAAUCCUUGUUUCAGAGUCUUCGAUCCUCCCCACAGAUGCAGUGGAGCUGCAGUGGUUCCACACCCCACGGGCUGGUUCCUGCCCUCCAGGAAACAAAGUCACUUAGGAGAUCAGGAGGAUUUUACAGGACAUAGCUUAAGAAGCACUACUCUAGGGAGUAGAAAUUUAUUAAUACUACUUAAUAUCUAUGAUUCAAAAAUUUCAUUGCAUGUCAGCACUAUUAAUAAGAAUUAAUGUUUAGAUUUAAAAAAGUAUGUUCAAUAUUUUAAAAAUACUUAAUUUUAGAAUAGUUUUAGGUUUACAGAAUAGCUGUGAAGACAGUACAGAGUGUUCCCAUAGACUCCACAUUCAGCUUCGCCUAUUGUUAAUGUUCUAUAUUAGUGUGGUACAUUUGUCACAAUUAAUGAACUGAUACUGACAUGUUAUUAUUAACUAAAAUUAACCUUAUUCAUGUUUCCUUAGUUUUUAACUAAUGUCCUUUUUUUGUCUCAGGAUCUCAUCAGGAUGCCACAUUGCAUUGUAACAAAGUGUUUUAAAAAUUGGUUAUCGGGUUAUACCAGAGUUAUAAUGGGGCUCUAGUCUCUUUAAAUGCAGACGCUUGUAAAAUGUUUUUAGAUAAUGAAAGACUCAGAAAUGUUUUACAGAAUUUUUCCUUCAUUAAUAGUAGGUCUGCAUGAGCCACAUGGGCAGAAAAUAAAACCUACUGAUUGCUGUCUUCAGAAGUGGGCAACAUUGUGUAUUUGAACAAGAACUGCAUUAGCAGUGUAUUAAUUUUACUGCUGCCACAGAAAAACUCUUGUGUGACUUUGGGCAUGUCAUUAAUCUCUAAACCUUGUUUUCCCCAUCUGUUCUGUGAGAAGGUUGGACAACACGAUCUAAAGGUUGUCUUAACCAUCUCUAAAAGGAAGGUACUUGGAUAUGGGCAGAACUUGGGAGUAGUGAUAGAGGAGGACUGCAUGUAUAAAUAUUAUGGAAUUGGGAACUAAAUGAAAGAAGAGCUGUACUCUUUUCAGUUUAUUUCCCUCUUAAGAUUUAAUGUCUGGUCUGGUAGAUUUUUGUAGGUCAUUUAGGAAUUGGCUGCUCUUGAUGUGUGUAUGCUCUUGGUAAUGUGAUUAAAUAAUACAGCCUCACCACAGAGGCAAUCCUUGCUUUGUACAGUGGUAUGGGGCAGUAAAAAUGAAAGUCCAGGCUGAAACUGUGCAAGGUGAUCUUAAUAAUAAAUGGUAACAAUUAGGAUUAUUCCAUGACAUUUAAAAAUGUUUGUAAAAAGUCAAAACCCUUGUACUGUUAAAAAUGUGUAGGAAAAUGAAAAAAAAAUUAGUACACUCUAAUUUAAAACGUUAGAGACAUUGAGAAUUAAAGUGCUUUAUUUCCUUUUAAAACACUGUUGAGUAGUAGUUUGAGCAAUGCUUGCCUUUUUCUUGUACAACUUUUGCUAUAGAUCAAGCAUCUUUUCUAUGGUUUGGUGAAUUGUGAAAUUCCAAGUUUGGAUCGGCUUCCAACAUUGUCGUUUGUGUUUUCCGUGUUAUAAAAUAUCUCUGAGAGUUCUUUUAUUAUGAAGUUUUUCUCUUCCUCUGGGACAUUAUCAUCCUUUUUGUCACAGCCACUUUGUUCAUUUAUAUAAAAAAAAAAACUCACCUUCACUAAGUUCGUUUGUCUGUGAAUCUAGAAUCUCUUGAAUGUCAGCACAGUCAUCGUUGCUACAACCAGCUAUGUCUUCUAUAACUACAUUUACAUUUGAUUCAAAUUUUCCUUCCAGUGUUAACACUUCAUUUCUUUCAGGGCUUUGAACUGAUUCAAACCGGUUCUGUCAUGGCUGAUGAAGCAAAAUCAGAAAAGACCAAAAUUUUUACAAUUUGGGUGAUCUGGAACAAUAACUGGAAUGCACAAAAUUACAGGUCAGAGCCCUGAAAUGGGAGACUCAGAAGCCGGAUGUGUGAGAGUGGAUUAUUCGCAGGACUGUGGAGAGUGACAGAUAUUCAAAGUGGCAUCAUCACUUGUCAUCUUUGAGCGGGGCACCGUUGUUCCUGACUCUGUUCAAAAUCUGAUGGGGCAAGAGAUUUGGUUGCUAUGCAAAGCGUACACUGUCCUUGUUUUCUGGAACGGAGAUUAAGUUUCUGGCAGGGCUUCGAUUUGUUAUUUUUCCCAUUUAAAACCCAGAUUUUAAAAAUUUCGUCUGUUCCAGUGUGACUUCCUCAGCCAUGACUGAACUGGGAGAACCGGUUCGAAGGCCUGGUUCCCUUGCUGCACUUUCUUCUUUGCUGGCCAGUUCCCUCUUUCAAGUAUCUAUUUUUAUAAAAUGUCACAUGGGUUUAUCACUGGUAGACAAGGAGGCAACACAGCUACACACUUUGCAGUUUGUAUGAACUAAUAACAAAUACUCAGUGGUUAAUCAUGACACAUUUUGAAGGAAGUGACAUGAUUGGUCACUGACUGAUCUUGAUACACAUGUGUUAUUUACCAAUAGUGAUUUGUGGAAUGAAGAGCUAGCAGUGAAGUUUGUACUUUAUACUAUUAUUCAGAGGUAAUGCACAGAGGUAACAGAUUUGAAUUGUGUUGUUGUGGGACUGGUUAUUAAGCUAAACUGUGAUAACUGAAAUCCAUGCAGAGCAAGGACUGCCUGUUUAUGGAAACAUCCACUUAGUAAUUAUUCUGGGAGCUGUUUGACAUAGAACUUCUAAGAAGUGACUAUGAGGCAUAUGUAGAGUAGAAUAAAUGGAAUAAAAUUUAAUGUUUCCAAAAUAGUUGACUUACUUUACAAAGAGUGGGCUUAUUUGUAAGCAAGUCUUUGCGAUAUUAUGUAAGAUGGGACUUGACUAUAGAUUUGAAAUUGAUUUAUAGUUCUUCUUGUUUACAAAGUCUUAGCUGACUUGCAUAGGAGCAGGUGUAAUUUUCAGUGUAAGCCAGAACUCAGCGAAGUUACAAACUGCAGGAGAGAAAUCCUUAUAGUAUUGUAUAAACCACAAAACCAAACCUGUUGCCAUCAAGUUGAUUCCGACUCAUCGAGAUCGUAUAGGGCAGAGUAGAACUGCCCCAUGUGGUUUCCAAGGAGUGCCUGGUGGAUUCGAACUACCAUAGUAGCCAUAGCUCUUAACCACUAUGCCACCAGGAUGUUCUGGUCAUAUAUAGGCCUCUAUAUUGUCGAAAUAGUAUUUCUACUAAAAAGUACAUUAUGGAUCAUCUAGGCUCUAGGCCAUGUUCAUUUUAUAAGUAAGCAGUGGAAGUCUAGAUAGGAAAUAACUUCCACAAAAUUAUUAGCUAGCUGUUGAGUCCAGAGCUGGUUUUAUGUUUUCAGGUUCUUUGAUGCUGUGUCUGUACCACACUGUGUUCUCUAAACACUGAUUGCUUUCAUUUUGUAGAAACCCGGUAAUGUUAUUUCAUAAAUAAAUGCUAUUACGGAGCAAGACAAGAGACUUGAUUGGUUCUAAGGCAUUAUAGUUUAUCUUAAGGGAAGUGACCUUCAUAAUUCUGAAGUGAACAGUGUUAGCUGCUUUACUGGAGAGGGAUUGAAAGUUAGUAGCAACCCUGUGUUGAGCAAGCUUGUCGGUGCUAUUUUUCUAAAAGCAUGGGAUCUCAUCAUGUCUCUGUGUCACAUUUUGAUGAUUCGCGGAAUAUUUCAAACCUUUUCAUUAUAUCUGGUAUGGUGACCUGUGAUCAGGGAUCUUUGAUGUUACUGUUGUAACUGUUUUAAGGUGCCAUGAACUGCACCCAUACAAGAUGGGGAAACUUAAUCGAUAAAUGUUGUGUUAUGUCCUGACUGCUCCACCCACCGGCCAUUCCCCCAUCUCUCUCCCUCUACUUGGUCCUCUGUAUUCCCUGAGACAUGACAGUAUUGACAUUAGGCCAAUUCAUAACCCUGCAAUGGCCUCUAAGUGUUCAAGUGAAAGGAAGAGUUGUAUGUCUCACUUUAAAUCAAAAGCUAGAAAUGACUGAGCUUAGUGAGGAAGAUGUGUCGAAGGCCGAAAGCUAGGCCUUUUGAGCCAAAGAGUUAGCUAAGUUUUGCAUGCAAAGGAAAAGUUGUUGAAGGAAAUUUAAAGUGUUACUCCAGUGAACAUAGGAUGGUGAUAAAGUGAAACAGCCUUAUUGCUGAUAUGGAGGAAGUUUUAGUUGCCUGGUUAGAAGAUCAAACCAACCACAACAUUCCCUUAAGCCAAAGGCUAAUCCCUGGCAAAGCCCUAACUCUCUUGAAUUCUGUGAAGGCUGAGAGAUGUGAGGAAGUUGCAGAAGAAAAGUUUGAAGCUAGCAAACUUUUGGUUCAUCAGGUUUAAGGAAAGAAGCCAUCUCCAUAACAUAAAGUGCAAGGUGAAGCAGUAAAUGCAGAUGUAGAAACUGCAGCACGUUACACAGAAGAUCUAGCCAAGAUAAUUGAUGAAGAUGGCUACACUAAACAACAGAUUUUCAAUAUAGAUGAAACAACAAUCUUAGAUAGGAAGAGGAUGCCAUCUAGGACUUUAAUAGCUAGAGAGGAGAAGUCAGUGCCUGGCUUCAAAGCUUCAAAGGACAUACUGACUCUCUUGUUAGGGGCUAAUGCAGCAAGUGACUUUAAGUUGAAGCAAGUGUUCAUUUGCCAUUCUGAAAAUCCUAGGACCUUUAAGAAUUAUGGUAAAUCUACCUUGCUUGUGUUAUAUAAAUGGAACAAGAAGCCUGGAUGAGAUCACGUCUGUUUACAACAUGGUUUACUGAAUAUUUUUAAGUCCACUGUUUAGACCUGCUGCUCAGAAGACAAGAUUCUUUUCAAAAUAUUACUGCUCAUUGACGAUGCCUCUGGUCAUCCGAGCUCUGAUGGAGAUGUACAAGGAGAUUAAUGUUGUUUUCAUGCCUGCUGACACGACAUCCAUUCAGCAACCUGUGGAUCAAGGAGACAUUUCGACUUCCACGUCUUAUUAAGAAAUACGUUUUGUAAGGCAAUAGCUGCCGUGGAUGGCGAUUCCUCUGAUGGAUCUGGGCAAGGUAAGUUGAAAACCUUUAGGAAAGGAUUUACCAUUUUAGAUGUCAUUAAGAACAUUCAUGAUUCAUGGGAGAAACUGAAAAUAUCAACAUUAAUAAGAGUUUGGAAGAAGGUAAUUCCAACACGCAUAGAUGACUUUGAGAGGUUCCAGACUUCAGUGGAGGAUGUAACUGCAGAUGUGGUGGAAAGAGCAAGAGAACUAGAAUUAGAAGUGGAGCCUGAAGACGUGAAUGAGCAAAGAAAGUGGUUUCUUAGAUGGAAUCUGCUCCUGGUGAAGAUGCUGUGAACAUUGUUGAAAUAACAACAAAGGAUUUAGAAUAUUACAUAAACUUGGUUAAUAAAGCAGUGGUAGGAUUUGAGAGGAUUGACUCCACUUUUGAAAGAAGUUCUACUGUGGGUAAAAUGCUACAAACACCAUCGCAUGCUACAGAAUAGUCUUUUGUGAAAGGAAGAGUCAAUCGAUGGGGCAUACUUCACUUUUGCCUUACUUUAAGAAGUUACCACAGCCACCCCAACCUUCAGCAACCACCGCCCUGAGUAGUCAUCAGUCAUCAGCAUCGAGGCAAGACCCUCCACCAGCAAAAGGAUUACAACUUGGUGAAGGCUUAGCUGAUGGUUAGCAUUUUUUAUCAGUAAAGUAUUUUUUAAUUAAGGCGUAUACAUUGCUUUUUAGACAUAAUGUUAUUGCACACUUAAUACACUACAGUAUAGUGUAAACAUAACUUUUACAUGCACUGGGAAACCUAAAAAUUGAUGUGACUCACUUUAUUGUGAUAUUGGCUUUAUUGUGGUGGUGUGGAACCGAACCUGCAGUAGCUCCAAGGUAUGUGUGUACCAGGACUCAUUUGUCAAGUUCUACAGACAAUGUCACUGGAAUUUUGAUUGAAAUUGCAGGAACAUGUAGAUUAAUUUGGAGAGAAAUAAUAUCUUUGCAAUAUGAGUCUUCUCGUCUAGGCAUUGAAUAUUUUAUUCAGUUUUUAAUAUUCUUCACUUAGGUUUUGCAGUUUUCUCCAUUGAUGUUUUAAAUGUUUUCACCCACUCUUCACCUGGGAGAUUUCUGUUCUUUAGGGUGCACCUGCUGGAUAGUUUCUUCUAGGAGGCUCUCAUUGUCCCUCCUUUCUGUGUGCUUGGAUGGGAUUUUUCACAUUCUGUUGUGCUGUCUGUUUAAGCAUCCUCUUCUCCCUGAUUAUAAACUUAUUGAGGGCAAACGAAGGUCUAAGUCCUACUGGUACCAAGUGCCUAGCAUAGUAACUGGCAGUCACUUAGAGGUUUACUGAGUGAAGGAGCAGAUGGAUGUAAAACUUAAUGGAUCAUAAAACAUAGGUCUCCAGCUACCAUGCUGCCACGUGCAUUUUCCUCUACAUAGUACAGUUUUCAUAAUCUUUUUGUUCCAUUAAGAAAGAUAAGAAUGCCAAGAUAGAACUAAACAAAUAUUUGAGUUUUAAAUUUUAGAAAAAAUGGAAGGUAUUACAGAUAGCUUUUUAAAAAUGUUUGUAUUGAUUUUAUGUUAUUUUAAACACUGCAAAACUGGAAGGUUUAAGUCCUUAUUUCUUGUGUUUAAAUUUUAAAACUUUCUCUUUACAGAGCUUUUGUUUACAUAGUAAAUUUCACCAUUGAUAUCAUACACAUCUGGUAGUUUCCCUAAUUCUUUUCCCCUUAAUUGUCUGCAUUUUGAGAGGCAGUAUACAUUAACAGAAAGAAUGUUUUACCCCGUGUUGGGAAAUUUGAAUUUUGGCUCAGCUACUAGCUUGCUGUGAUUUUGAACAAGUUACUUCAUGUCUUCAGUCUUUCUAAAAUGUGGAUGUAUCUACCUGUCAUACCUCAUAAGGUUUUUCCUGUAUUCAGAUGGCUGUAUUAGAAAGUGUUUUGAAAUUACAAAAUGGUGGUUACAUUAUUUCCCUGAAUAGGAGUAUUUUGCUUUAGGCAGAACCCUGUGCGUGAAAGUUAGGAUUUGUUUAAAGAUUCCUAAGGUGGGGCUCAUCACCUUAUGGAAAGUUCUCUGAAGAGUUCAGAACAGGAUUUAUUGUUUCCAAGUUGCUCCCACAGUUUGUUAAAGUGUGUUCCCUAUUCCUGUUGAAUUUACGUGAAUUGAGGACACUUUAGCUGGAAGCGAUGGGAAGUGAGUGCCAUCAAGGACUCAGUACAUUCUCUGCGGAGGUAAUGGAGAAUAUGGCUACGAGUGUGGUUCUGAAACCCAGGUUUCAGCCCUGACUCACCAGUCGCUCUCCAUGUUGUUAACUUGAACCUUAUGAAGUUGCUGUUCUCGUUGGUUAAAAAAAUGGCUGAAUAUUAGCAGCUCAGAGUCACCAGCUGCUCUGCAGGAGAAAGAUGUGACAGUCUAGUUUUGAAAAGAUACAGCCUUGGAGACCCCAUGGGGGUCACCAUGAGUUGGAAUUGACUCAGUAGCAGUGGAUUUUUGGUUUAUGUUUGACCAAAAUAUUUUCAUAAGUGAGGAAAAAACGAAGUUACAAAAUUAUGAGUAAUAUCUCAUUUUUGGAAAAAACUUAUAAACCAUGUUAUUAUCUAUGGAAAAUCAUCUGAAAAUACACCAAAAUAUUAACAGUAAUUGUUUCUGGAUUUUUUUGAGUUUUGUAUGUCCCAGACUGGUUACCAUUGGCUGGUGGUAUUAUAUAAGGCCUUUAAAAAUUUUUUUGAUAUUGUGUUUUUGGUGAAAGUUUACACAGUAAAUUAGGUUCCCGUUUAACAAUUUCUAUACAUAUUGUUGAGUGACAUUGGUUACAUUUUUCACAAUGUGUUAACAUUCUUACUUCCAUUCUGGUGGUUCUGUUUCUGUUACUCCAACUUCCCUGCUACCUCCCCUUCCCCCAUCUUUGCUUUAGGAUAAAUGUUGAGCACUUGGUUUUACAUAGAUGAUUUUUCAAAGGAACACAGUACUCACAGGUGAUAUUGUUUAUUUUAUGAGUCAGUCUGUUAUUUAGCUGAAAGGGGACCUUUGGGUGUGGUUUCAGUACAAAGUUUAAAGGGUAUCUCAGGGCAGUAGUCUUGGGGGUUUCUCUAGUCUCUACUGGUCCAGUAAGCCUGGCCUUUUUUUUUAAAGAAUUUGAGGUUCGUUCCUACAUUUUUCUUCCAUUCUAUCCGGGAGCGUCUGUUGUGUGUCUGGUCAGAAUGGUUGGUAGACGUAGCCAGACACCAUCUAGUUGUUCUGGUCUCAGGAUAGAUGAGGCUGUGGUUCGUGUAGGCUAUUAGUCUUGUAGACUAAUUUCUUCUUUGAGUCUUUGGUUUCCUUCUUUCCCUUUUGCUCUGGUUGAGUAGUGGUGCUCACAAGCUUUAAGACCCCAGGUGCUACUCACCACACUAGGAUGUAGAGCAUAAAGUUUAUGAACUGUAUUAUGCCAAUUAACCGAGGUGUCCCAGUAGACUGUGGUUCUGAGCCUUCAAAUCAAGUAAACCAGUCCCAUGAGGUGUUUGCUUAUGUCUAGGAAGUAUCUGCAGCUGCCGCCUAUGUGCUUUAUUUCAUGUGUGGAUAUUUCAUGUGCAGCACACACCUAUACAUGUACCCAUAUACACACACAUAUAACUUCCUAUACAUAUUUAUGCGUACAUAUCUACUGAGGUAACCACAUUCAUGUUUUUGGUUGCUCUUCCUGUUUUUGCAGAAUUAUGUAUAACAUUUACUGUAAUUGUCCUUUAUUGUUGCAUACCUCUUGCCUUCAUUUACCUUGGUAAAGUUGUGCGGACUUCCUUAUAUUGGCUAUUGCCUGUCCCAUCACCAAAAAUAACAAGUGUCUACUAUCUAGGGUGUGGUUCCCGCUUCCUCCCCAUCCCAGCCCUGGUAACCACCAAUGAACAUUGAUUUCUGUAUGUAUACCUAUUCUUGUCUUCUUAUAAAAGUGCAAUUAUACAUAUUUUAAAAGUACAAUCAUACAUAUGUGUGCUUUUGUGAUUGACGUAUUUCACUCACCAUGCUGUCCUCCAGAUUCAUCCACAUUGUAUUUUGAGAAAUCAUUAUUAUUUAUAGCUGUGUAGUAUUCCAUUGCAAGUAUGUACCACAUUUUAUAUAAGGCCCUUUUAAACUAGGUAACCCUCUGGUGUUCUGUAGGUUAUUUGGGAAGCAGAGAUGAAUUUUAGGUAGUAGUGAGAAUUUGAUUUAUUUCAUGUUUUCUGAGUUUGUGUGAAGUUAUCAGACCCUCUGUUAAGGACCUUAUUCCUUAUUUCUGCUUAGAGCUCCCACGCACCAAUUCUGAAAGCAGAUGCCAUUCGAUUUUCAGUUAGAGCUAAGAAACAGGCCCAGGUUUACAGAGCUGAAACUGGAGCCCAUAGCUUGCUCUACAAAGCUAAAGGUUGCCUUUCAGACUUUUUUUUUUUUUUAAAUUAUUUUUUAAAGUGUUACUUCAGAUCUUAAUUUGGAUGACUAGUUGCAAACUGGCAUUAAAUUUGCUUUGCUGUCAUUUCUCAUAUGUUUGUGGCUAGGUUGAUAGAUAUAUCACUAUUCAAGGUCCUGUUUAUGUUUUUUUUCUAAAUGUUAAAAUUUGUGAGUUGAAAUGGAAAAAUCCUUAUUCUUUAUAAGCAUAGCAUGGCAAGACUCACUCUUGUAAUAUUUAUUUGGCAGUCUUUAUGCCUUUGUUUUUGGUAUCAUGGGAAUUAAAAGACAAAAUCCAGUAAUCUGACAUCCUUCAGAGAAAAAUCUGGAAGCAUGUUUUCUAGGUUGUUUACAUUCAGGGUUUUGCUUAUGAAUAUUAUUUUUUGGUCAGCUCUCUCAGCAUGGAGGCUCAUUUUGGUAUAGUACAGUAAAACUUGGAAAAACCAGAACCUGUGUGUCUUAGUGAAGCAUCAGCCUUUACACUGUGUUAGCAGUGAAACCAGCAAGUUUUAUUGGGAGAAGAAAGGGUUUGUGAAACUGGGACACACCAUGACAUCCAGGCAGGGUGUCAUAGUGUUCCACAUUGCAGGGGGACAGUGAGUUUUUUAUCAAGUGGAGUAAAACCAGGGUUGUGGCUCGCAGGCAAAAGGGGUACAGGAAAAAGUUAUAAGGGGCGUUAAAAAGCUACAAGCUUUCUAAGCUUUCUAAACAUUAUCAAUUCUCUAACCUCCUGGAACAUGUUGACCAAGGCAUUUGUCUGGUAUCAGGCUUCAUAAACAUUCUUGACAAACGUCUUAUUAACAAACAAUUCCUCAUACAAGCUAAAGUCUUGACCCUUGCUCCUUUCUGUGCUACAAGCAAUUAAACUUUUACAAGAAGCUGAAUUGUCUCUUUAGGGCAGCAGGAGUGAAGAUUUCGGGCGUAGCUGCAGUUUUGAUUUAAAAUGGAGUUUAAUUUAGAUCUGGGCCAGCCAUCUUGGUCAUGUCAAGCACGCCAGCUUUGGAGUCCGCACACAUUACUUCCUUCUUUUAAACAAGUCAUCACUAGGGGGCAUAGAUCAUCUACAAAGGAGUAAGCCUUCUGCAGAGACUUAGCAUCUUGGGGACAACUGCUUUUUUGAGCUGUUAAGACUUAGUAUUUCGGGGAUGGCUGCUCUGUUUGAGCUUUUAAGACCUCAGAUGCCAGCUCUGUUAUUUGAGGUGGUCGGGCACCAUUCAGUGUUACCUUGCUAUAGCUUUGGACCUCAUCUUCAGGUUGAGUUGAUUCUGUUUGGAGCAAGUGUUGCAGACAAAGCCAAGUUAGAGGAGUAACUUCGCAUUUCUAAAAAGGCCUAAUCCUAGAGCUAAAAUUCAUUCUCCUUUGAAAAAUUGGUCUCUUCCAAAUACAUAAUUCUUUUCAUGGCCAGAUGUCUCGAGGGUUGGCUGUGAUAAUGGGAAACAUAGUGCAUAAUACAUUUAACAAGCCCUAUAAUAACAAUUACAAUGAUUAAUAGGAGUAGCCAGGCUAGUAUAGAGGAGCAUAUCCCAGACCUGAUACUUUGGGGGUAACCAGCUAAAAAUAUCAAAGAAGGAAGGAAUGGUCAUGGGGGAAAUGGUAUGUAACCAGGGGGCAUUCUGGUGUAUUUCAGAGAUCUAGUUAUACUUCUCCAGAUGUAUUUAUCCAUGAGCAGCAAGAGGUAUUGGCAACAGCACUAACUCCUCCUUGCUGAGGCAGGAGUAAAUCAAGAGCUAUUCUAUUGCCCAAGACAACUUUAACAAGAGAUUCUAAGGAUUUUUGUUGAGCUGUCAUUUCAUCAGCAACACUCUCAGCUAUUUGAGCCUUACUGGCAGUUAGAUUGCAAACAGAGUGUUCUAAUUGCCAUAUACCAAAAGUGGGAACAAGUGCUUGAAGAAAUGACCAGCCCCAUCCAGACCUAUCAGUGAUGGGAUUAUUUGAGAGGGCCGUUCCCUCUUCUGUAUAGAUAUUUCAAGUCACUGUUCCAUUGUAAGCUGUCAUUGUAUGAAUGGAUACUUAGGUACCCAGGGGUACCUAAGUUUCAUUGACCUCACAUAUUCCAACCAUGUAAACAUGGCAAAGGCCAAAUACAGGGUGAAUCACCAGACAUUUUUCUUAAAUAUCGUCCACAUAAAAACGCAUAUCCUGAUAAGGCACAACAUACCUGCCCAGGUUUGAAUAUUAGGAAAUGGAGUGAACUCAUUGGCUUUUUCAAGUCAGUCUGCAGUUAACAAAUCCUCACAAAUGGAUAAUUCCCCAAAUUCUAGGGGAUCCCAGAGUUCGGCACAAAUGGGGAGAUACUGAUAAUUUUUAAAAGUUAUCUGCUACUGCAAGAUAAUGUCAGGCAUCAUUAAUUAAAAGAUUGCAUGGUGCGGAAAGAAUAAAACAUCCUAACCAGGUAUGAGUAAGGUUGAAGCAGAGAGCUAAUGGAUAAGUGGAUAAUUCUGGAGGUAGCCAUAAUUUGACAUGAGUAGUCUAUUUAAAUGGUCUCUUAAAAUCAUAGUAAAAUUAGGUGUGAACCAAUAAUCCAAGACUGCACAAUGAGAAUAUCAAUAUGAUCUCGUGUAGACUGAGGGGAAGAGUGUCAUACCUAACUUUCAGUCAGAAUAUUGGUGGGGUUAUUUUUUGAGUUAAUUUGAUGAAAUAAUUUUCAUUCUAUGCAUUGGUGAUGGUUAUAAUAAACAGAAAGAGAAUACUUAUUAAAAACAUCAUGACAGAGAAGAGGUUAGUAAAAUAAAAAGUUUUUUCUAGUAAUAUGCUUGGAGACGAACCUAAACUGAUAAAACUUGUUUCAAAGGCUUAUACGUAUUAAAAAAUGUGCAACAAUUUCAAUCAGCUCACUAGGUUAGGAUUAACGACAUUUGAUGAUUAACAAAACCACUGAGAAAUAAUUCCAAAACCAAGCAAAAAUAGUCAAAACUAUUUAAGUACCAGCAGUUAAGAAACAGAGACCAAAGAUUUCAGCAGCUUGCAUGUAAUCUUGUUCCAUGAUAUUGGAGUCAGCUGCCAGCUUUUGAAGUCACUUGGUUCUGCUCACUGGGACAUUUCAGCUUGAGUUUCAAAUCUCUGAAUGGCUGACAAGUCCAGAUAGGUACUUUAGUUUUAUUUAACUGUGAUAAGUGAAUCCAAGGGUUAAUUGCUUCCAAUUUUGCUACACAAGGCUUAGCUAAAAGAACUAAAUAAGGUCCCAUCCAGCGAGAUUCUAAUUCUAAAGAAUCCUUUAGUUGGUGUCUUCCAAUAAAUAUAAUCUCCUUGGGUCAUAUUAAGUAAAGGAGGAGAGCCAGGUUUUUGCUUCUCAAGUGCUUUUUUUUUUUUAUUGUGCGCUAGGUGGAAGUUUACAGCUCAAGUUAAUUUCUCAUUCAAAAAUUUAUACACAUACUGUUUUGUGACAUUGGUUGCAGUCCCCACAAUUUGACAGCACACUUCCUCUUUCCACCCCCGGUUCUCUGUGUACAUAUGACCAGCUUCUGUCCCUUCCUGCCUUUUCAUCCUGCUUUUGGACAGGAGAUGCCCAUUUAGUCUCACAUACCUGGUUGAACUAAGAAGCAUGGUCCUACAUGUAUUAUUUUUUGUUUUAUAGUCCUGUCUAAUCUUGGUCUGAAGAGUGGGCUUCAGGAAUGGUUUCAUUUCUGGAUUAACAGAGCAUCCGAGGGCCGUAGUUUCAGGGGUUCCUUCAGUCUCUGUCAGACCAUUAAGUCUGGUCCUUUUACGUGAAUCAGAUGCUUCUUUAAUCUGUGAAAAAUACUUCUUAGAAUAUUGUGUUAGAAAUUGAAGAUAUUUGAAUAAUUCAGGUUGCACUAAGUUAGGGUUGGUGGAAGCAAUGUAAGGAAGGGUCAUAGGCCUUCUAGUAACUAUUUCAUAAGCAGUAAAUCUAUAAGAUGAAAAAGGACUGCUUCUUAAAUUUAAAAGGACCAAAGGGAGAACUUUAGUCCAACACAAGCCCAAGGAUUUGGAAAGUUUAGCAAGCUGAGUUGUUAUUAUACUAUUAGUUCUUUCUACAAGUCCAGGGGAUUGAGGGUGAUAAAGAUAAUGCAAUCUCUGAUACAUGGGGAAGAUUUGGCAUAAUUCUUGAAAUACUAGUGCAUUAAAAUGAGUUUCCUGAUCAUACUAAAGAAUUUUCAGUGCCCCCAGGUAGGUAUUGUGUUUUCAAGUAGCUUUUUUGCUAAAAAAGGAGUGGCAUGUCGGCAGGGGAAAGCCUCCACCCAAUGUGAAAAUCUGCAGAUCAUCGCUAUAAUAUUUUUAUAACCAUUUGAAGGUGGAAAAUCUUAAUUGCCAUCCAAGCGUAAGUUCAGAAGGCAAAGAGUUUUGCCCAGGUGAAGUCUUAAGUUGGUUCCCAGGGUUAUAAUGAGGGGCAGAUAGAACAAUGAGCGGUCACAUGUUCAGCUGGUUCAGAAAAUUUUUCCCACCAAUAUUUAAGAAAAUUUCAGUGAUUUUAUCUCCCCCUAGAUGAGUUCUUAUGUAGAGGUUGCAUCAUAGGGACAUGCAGAAGUUUAGGGAGAACAAUUUUAGUGUCUGGCCCUAACAAUAAUUUAGUGUCAGGGUUUGGUAACAGCCUGAUCUUUCCCAUGUUUCAGCUUCACCUGACAAGGCCAACUGCUAGUAUUUCAAAAGCUUUUCUUUGGUGGGUACAAAAAUGCUAGUUAUUUCUUGAGAAUGGUUCUCUGUGGGCUCUUUUAGAGGUCUUACUAUAAACCCCUUUGUUAUAAUAGGGUCAGCAAUAAUUUGGGAAGCAGCUUGUUUAGCGGCUGCAUCAGCAAAGUUAUUUCCUCUAAUUUCUUCAGUUUGAGAACUCCUUUUGGUUAAUGGGCCUGUAUUCAAAUUACAGCAGUUUCAGCGGGGAGAAGCAGGGCAUCUAAAAGAUCUGCUACUAAAAACUCUAUUUUUGAUAGUGUUGCCAGAAGAGGUUAAAAACCCUGUUUCCAUGGUAUUCCAAACUCAUGAAUAACUUAAAAAGCAUCUUUUAAAUCUGUGAAAACAACCACGGACUUCCCUUUAGAAGUUUGCAGGUUUUAGUAAGAGCAAUAAACUCAACUAGUUGGGCUGAGGUAGCCUUGGGGUGAGCCUGACUUUUAAGGACUUUAGUAGAAGUUGUAACAGCAUAACCAGUGUGGUAAUGAGAGUAAGGGGUUGGUUUCAGGUAAGCUCCAAUCUACAAAUUAAAUCAUAAUCAGGAUUUGACAAAGGAUUUUUCUUUAAAUCAAUACAGGGACUCAAAAGCUGCUCAGUUAGGUCUAGACAAUUGUGGGAGAGAAAAUCCACUUUAUUAUUUACAGGAAGAAGAGUGGGUUCAAAGUAGCACUGUAUGCAGUCUAAUAUUUGAUGCUGCCAGAAGAAGGAUCUCAUAGGAGAUGAGUCUGCUGGCAGAUAAGUGUUGAGUUAAAGCAGAAUUAAGCAAAGCAGACACAGCAUGGGGUACACAUAUAUCUAAAAAAUUUCACAAAACUAUAUCUGCAGUAUUUGCUACUAAUUUUGCAGUAGCAGCUGUGGCACUGAGGCAAGGGGGUAGGCUCUAGCCUCAGAGUCCAAUUACAGGCUAUAAUAACCUAAAAGCCUAUUUUGUCCUCCAUAUUUCUGUGUAAGAACACCUAAUGUUCUACCAGGAACUUCAUGUACAAAUAAAAGACCAAAUGAUAGGGAAUCUCAAAGCAGGUAUGUUAGUCAAACCUCUUUCAAUGUAAUUACUGUCCAUUGAUUUGGGGUAAGAUAGAAGGGAUCAGGCACAGGUUUUCAAAUAUUUGUAUAAAGAUUAAGCCAUGACACAAGCAAUAUACAAAACAUUACUAACAAUGUACAAACACCAGAAGAGAGACUAGAUAACUGGGAGCUCCUAAAAAUCAAACAACUAUGCUCAUCCAACGACUUCACCAAAAGAGUAAAGAGAUUACCUACAGACUGGGAAAAAGUUAUUAGCUUUGAUAUUUCCAAUCGGCGUCAGAUUUCUAAAGUGUACAUGAUCCUGCAAAAACUCAACAACAAAAAGACAACCCAAUUAAAAAAUGGGGAAAGGCUAUGAACAGGCACUUUACCGAAGAAGACAUUCAGGCUGCUAACAGAUACACGAGGAAAUGCUUAGGACCAUUAGCUAUUAGAGAAUUGCAAAUCAAAACUACAAUGAGAUUCCAUGUCACCUGAACAAGACUGGCAUUCUUUAAGAAAACACAAAAUAAUAAAUGUUGGAGAGGUUGUGGAGAGACUAGAACACUUAUAUACUCUGGUGGGAAUGUAAAAUGGUACAGCCACUUUGGAAAUUGAUUUGGUGCUUCCUUAAAAAGCUAGAAAUAGAACUGCUAUAUGAUCCAGCAGUCCCACUCUUUGGAAUAUAUCCUAGAGAAAUAAGAACCUUCACACAAACAGAUAUAUGCACACCCAUGUUCACUGCAGCACUGUUUAUCAAAAAGAUGGAAGCAACCAAGAUGCCCAUCAACGGAUGAAUGGAUAAGUAAAUUAUGGUAUAUUCACAAAAUGGACUAGUAUGCAAUGAUUAAGAACCACGAUAAAUCUGUGAAACAUCUCAUAACAUGGAGGAAACUGCAAGGUAUCAUGCUGAGUGAAAUUAGUUGCAAAAGGACAAAUAUUGUACAAGACCACUAUUAUAAGAACUGAAGAAAAAGUUGAAACACAGAAGAAAAUAUUCGACGAUUAUGAGGCUGGGGAGGAAGGGAGAGGGGUAUUCACUAGAUAGUAGACAAGAACUAUUUGAGGUGAAGGGAAAGACCACACACAAUACAGGAGAGGUUAGCACAACUGGACUAAACCAAAAGCUAAGAAGUUUCUGAAUAUAACCAAAUACUUAGAAGGUCAGAGUAGCAGGGAUGGGGGUUUGGGGACAGUGGUUUCAGGGCACAUCUAGGUCACUUGUCAGAACAAAAUGCAGAAAAACAUUCUGCGUUCCAUUUCAGUGAGUGGUGUCUGGGGACUUAAACUCCAGCAAGCGGCCAUCUAAGAUGCAUCAAUUUGUCUCAGUCCACCUGGAGCAAAGGAGAAUGAAGAACACCAAAGACACAAGGUAAAAAUGAGCCCAGGAGACAGAAAGGGACACAUAAACCAAAGACUCCAUCAACCUGAGACCAGAAGAACUAGAUGGUGCCCAGCUACCACCAAUGACUCCCCUGACAGGGAACACAACAGAGAAUCCUUGAUGGAGCAGGAGAAAAGUGGGAUUGCAGACCUCAAAUUCUCAUAAAAAGACCAGACUUAAUGGUCUGACUGAGAUGGAGCGACCCCAACGGUCAUGGUCUCCAGACCCUCUGUUAGCCCAAGACUGGAACCAUUCCUGAAGCCAACUCUUCAAACAGGGAUUGGACUGGACUGCAAGGCAGAAAAUGAUACUGGUGAAGAGUGAGCUGCUUGGCUCAAGUAGACACAUGAGACUAUGUGGGCAGCUCCUGUCUGGAGGGGAGAUGAGAAGGCAGAGGAGGACAGGAGCUGGUUGAAUGAUCAUGGGGAAUACAGGGUGGAGAGGAGGAGUGUGCUGUCUCAUUAGGGGGAGAGCAGCUAGGGGUACAUAGCAAGGUGUGUGUAAGUUUUUGUGUGAGAGACUGACUUGAUUUGUAAACUUUUACUUAAAAGCACAAUUAAAGAAAAAAAAGCUGUGAGAGAGAAGUUAGGAAUCCAAGCUUGAUGAUAGCCACAAAGUCCUAAAAAUCCCCUUGUUUCUUUGUUUUAGAUAAAAGAAAGGCUGCAGUAUCCUCUUUUUUGGGGGGGGGGGGGUCGAUAGAAAUGCCUUCUGCAGAGAUAAAAUGACUCAAGUAUUUGGCAGAAGAUUGGGCUGAUGGCAGUUUUUCUUUUGAAACUUUAUGUCCUCCAAGAGAAAAUGCUUUACUCCAGGCAGGCCUGCCAAGAGAUAGAGCACAGCAGUAAGACACUGACAUAUUGCAAUAAAGUAGAUUUACUUGGAAAUUGCAGUGGUUGCAAGUCUUCAUGCAAAGGUUGCAAAUCUGCAUGCAAAAUCCGAGAAAAGUGUCUGUGAGAUUUCAUGAAUCCUGCGGCAUGACAGUCCAGAUGAAUUGUUGGUUGUCCCAAGUGAAAGCAAAUAUUAGCUUUGAGAAUCUAUAGGUGUACUGGAAAAUGCACUACGAAGGUCUAGUGCAGUAAAACCUCCACUGUUGGGGGUAACAUUGGAAAGCAGUAUAUGUGGAUUAGGGACAGCUGGAAAUCUAGGAAUGACAGUACGGGUAAUUGCACAUAGGGCCUGGAGAAAUCUGCGGUCUCAGUUUUGUGGCUUUUUUAACUAGAAGGACAGGAGUGUUACAAGGACUAGUGCAGGGGAUGAUUAACCCCUUGGAAAGGAAAUUCUGUAGAAUAAGGGUUAGUCUUUCUGUAACAAAUUCCACAAGUGAUGGUUUUAACGAAGAAAUUUAUUUGUUCACAGUAAAGUAGGCUAAAAGUCCAAAUUCAGGGCAUCAUCUCCAGGGGAAGACUUUGUACCUCUCUCGGCCUUCUCAUCAAUCUUCCCCUGGACUAGGAGCUUCCUCGCGCAGGGACUCUGGGUCCAAAGGACAUGCUCUGCUCCUAGCACUGCUUUCUUGGUGGUAUGAGGUUCCCUGGCC